AGUGAACGCUGGCGGUAGGCCUAACACAUGCAAGUCGAACGGCAGCACAGUAAGAUCGUGCUCUUACGGGUGGCGAGUGGCGGACGGGUGAGGAAUACAUCGGAAUCUACUUUUUCGGGGGGGAUAACGUAGGGAAACUGACGCUAAUACCUCAUACGACCUACGGGUGAAAGCAGGGGAUCUUCGGACCUUGCGCGAUUGAAUGAGCCGAUGUCGGAUUAGCUAGUUGGCGGGGUAAAGGCCCACCAAGGCGACGAUCCGUAGCUGGUCUGAGAGGAUGAUCAGCCCCACUGGACCUGGGACCGGGUCCAGCCUCCUACGGGAGGCAGCAGUGGGGAAUAUUGGACAAUGGGGGCAAGCCUGCUCCAGCCAUACCGCGUGGGUGAAGAAGGCCUUCGGGUUGUAAAGCCCUUUUGUUGGGAAAGAAAAGCAGCAGGUUAAUACCCCGCUGUUCUGACGGUACCCAACGAAUAAGCACCGGCUAACUUCGUG
rnacentral:rRNA from 1 species